rnacentral:tRNA from 1 species
GGAAGUUUAGCUCAGCUGGUUCAGAGCAUCUGCCUUACAAGCAGAGGGUCGGGGGUUCGAAUCCCUCAACUUCCACAA